rnacentral:tRNA from 1 species
GCCACUAUAGUCUAGCGGUUAGGACGUCGCCCUCUCACGGCGAAGACAGGGGUUCGAUUCCCCUUAGUGGUACCA